UACGGAGGGUGCGAGCGUUAAUCGGAAUUACUGGGCGUAAAGCGUGCGUAGGUGGCUCGUUAAGUCAGAUGUGAAAGCCCUGGGCUCAACCUGGGAACUGCAUUUGAAACUGGUGAGCUAGAGUUGAGUAGAGGGGAGUGGAAUUUCAGGUGUAGCGGUGAAAUGCGUAGAUAUCUGAAGGAACACCAGUGGCGAAGGCGGCUCCCUGGACUCAAACUGACGCUGAGGUACGAAAGCGUGGGUAGCAAACAGGAUUAGAAACCCUCGUAGUCC
rnacentral:rRNA from 1 species